AGUGAACGCUGGCGGUAGGCCUAACACAUGCAAGUCGAACGGCAGCACAGUAAGAGCUUGCUCUUACUGGUGGCGAGUGGCGGACGGGUGAGGAAUACAUCGGAAUCUACUUUUUCGUGGGGGAUAACGUAGGGAAACUUACGCUAAUACCUCAUACGACCUACGGGUGAAAGCAGGGGAUCUUCGGACCUUGCGCGAUUGAAUGAGCCGAUGUCGGAUUAGCUAGUUGGCGGGGUAAAGGCCCACCAAGGCGACGAUCCGUAGCUGGUCUGAGAGGAUGAUCAGCCACACUGGAACUGAGACACGGUCCAGACUCCUACGGGAGGCAGCAGUGGGGAAUAUUGGACAAUGGGCGAAAGCCUGAUCCAGCCAUACCGCGUGGGUGAAGAAGGCCUUCGGGUUGUAAAGCCCUUUUGUUGGGAAAGAAAAGCAGCAGGUUAAUACCCCGCUGUUCUGACGGUACCCAAAGAAUAAGCACCGGCUAACUUCGUG
rnacentral:rRNA from 1 species